rnacentral:lncRNA from 1 species
UUGAAGCUAAUGCAAAUGAUUGUGGUAAUUUGAAAGGAGUUACGUUGAAGGCUAAACAUAUUGCAGAAGCUGCUUUGUUUCUUGCUUCGGAUGAAUCUGCUUAUAUUAGUGGACACAACUUGGUGGUUGAUGGUGGCUUCUCUGUCAUUGAUACAUCUUUUCCUAGUAUUAUCAAAAACUAGAUUUAAUUAUAUUUGUGUGUCUUUUUUUUAUGACCUAGUAAAAAUUGUCUCUUGUUUUUGUAAAUAUCACUGUCCUUCAAAUAACAUUUUGUUGCAAGUUUGGUCUAAUUUUAUUGGUCUAAUAAAAUUUUA